rnacentral:rRNA from 13 species
GCGCACGGGUGCGUAACGCGUAUGCAACCUACCUCUAUCAGGGGGAUAGCCCGGAGAAAUCCGGAUUAAUACCCCAUAGUAUUACUGAUUGGCAUCUAUUAGUAAUUAAAGCUUCGGCGGAUAGAGAUGGGCAUGCGUCCUAUUAGUUUGUUGGUAAGGUAACGGCUUACCAAGACUACGAUAGGUAGGGGGCCUGAGAGGGUGAUCCCCCACACUGGUACUGAGAC